UCCAAACCCUCUCUCUCUCUCUCUCUCGCGCGCGCGCGCGCGCACACAAAUCGACAUCAAGAGCUCCAACAAGCCAAGCUGAACACAAUGGUGUGAAGCUAUUGACUUAAACCUAAUGUUCGAUUCUGAUUCGUCUAUUCCAGGAGUAACCAUAACAACUAGUGAGAAGGGAAAUAACGAAUGAAGAAAAUAUGCAAAGAGAGAACUUUGAGAAUAGAAGAAUGAAGAGAGAGAGAGAGAGAGAGAGAGAGAGAAGUAACGAUGAAGUGAGAGAAAACUAUCGGAAGGAGAACGCUUGAAGGAGACGGAAGAGACAAAUGCAUGCCACCCGGCGAAGAAAAAAUCUUCGACCCAUCAGUCAGGUUUGGAAAUUCAAACUAGGGUUUUGACUUGGGGAUUUUCAUUGAAAAUUUUGGGUUUUGAUUGAGCAAAUCAAAAAUUAGAAUUGAGUUUUAGGUUGUAUAUGUAUAGUUUUCCUCUGCUUUCCUCUUCUCUCCUCUAGUCUCCUUGACUGUCUUCUCCUCUGCUCUCCUCAUUGGUUCAAUUGAUUGAAUAAUUUUGAUUAAGAAUAUAUUUAAUUAAUGUAUUGUGUAGUUGAUGUUUAGCAUAUGUUCUAGUUAUAAAAAUAAAAAAAAAUCUCUUUGUUUUCUAGUAGUGUAUCUUUUAUGUUCUUCAAUUUCUGCUAAACCAGAAAAUUUUAAGAAAAUAUAAUGAAAUCCCAUGUGAUUUAUAUGUACUUAGCACUUGUUAAACUCAUUGGGUUAAGGAAUCAAUUAAUUCAAUUCAAUUAAAUGAAGAAUUGAGUUCGAAAUCAAAAUUACAGCACUGAUAGGAAAUUGCCUGACUGGAAUACAGGGAGAAACUGAGCCUGUAGGGAACUUCUUUUGCUGAAUUAUGUUUUAAUUUUUAUUUUUAAUGUAUAUAUAUAUUUUUAUUAUAUUUGUUUGUCGAAGGAAUUUGUCAAAUUUGAACUUGGGUGGGGAGAUUUCACCAGCCAUUGGAGACCUGAAGAAUCUACAGCCCAUAUGUUAUAUUUGAAAUAUUUUCAGGGAUUUUCUGGGGAACAAAUUAACUGGUCAAAUUCCUGAUGAGAUAGGCAACUGUGUUUCUCUGAUGCUGGUGGGGUUCUUCUACGGAUACUCAUUAAUUACAACUCUUAUGAUUCUUAACCAUGCACUAAGUGGCAUUGCUGUAUCGAUGGUCAUGAAGUAUGCUGACAAUAUUGUGAAGGUGUGUCUAUGAAUAUUACUUUGUAUUUGUAUCAAAGGUGCACUAGCUCGCACACUGUGCCUGUAUAAUGUUCUACAUUUAUUCAUUUAUGAUGCAAAGAAAAGAACUAGUAUAACUAGUA